UACAGAGGUGGCAAGCGUUGUUCGGAAUUACUGGGCGUAAAGCGCGCGCAGGCGGCGGUGCUGGCCCGGCGUGAAAGCCCCCGGCUCAACCGGGGAGGGUCGUCGGGGACCGCACCGCUUGAGGGCGGUAGGGGCUGGUGGAAUGCCUGGUGUAGUGGUGAAAUGCGUAGAGAUCAGGCGGAACACCCGUGGCGAAGGCGGCCAGCUGGGCCGACCCUGACGCUGAGGCGCGAAGGCGUGGGGAGCGAACGGG
rnacentral:rRNA from 1 species